GAGCGGAGUAGCUUGGUUUAGUUGAGAGAGCAGCUGCUGCUGGGGAUGUUCUCUGACUCUGCCUGCCUGCCGUUUGCCCACCACACUGCCCUCUGGCUGCAUUUUAUUCUUCUGUUCUGCUUCUGCAUUAACAAAAUGUGCCAAAGAGCGUGGAGGUAAGAGGCAGGCACCUCUUUCCUGCCAGAUGUAAUCCUCUGGCAGAAGCAUCACCUAGAAGAAAGGCAACCAUCACAAGACAUCAGGAGACCUGCCCUCCUGGAGCUCAGAUCGACCCUGAUCCAAGGCAGCCACCUAAGCUGGCCUCCUGCUGCUUCAGAUAAGCCUGUUGGUGUUGGGAAUUCUCUCUGACUUCAGAAUUUGUCCUUCUGCCUGUAGUUGGCUCUGGAGAUCAAGAGCACAGCUCCAGAGUCAGAAGUGUCUUUGUAAGAAAGAAAGAGAAAGCAAGCAAGCUGCUAUGUCUCCUGCUUUGAUCCUGAAAACUGAACAUAUUGUCUGAGAAUCAUUCUCAGCAUCUUCUGACCUAUGGGCAAGAGAUCAGGAAAUGCAGCUGUGCAGGGAUUAGGCUGAGAUUUCACUUCACCUUAAAAAAAGAAGAAAGGAAAUAUUAAGGAUGACGUAAAGCUGUAAGAAGAGCUUCAGCUAUGCAAUAGUACCAGGUUUUAAAGAACGGGCCACAAGAUUGCAUGAUGCAUUGUUCUCUCUGGUGUGUAGAUUUUGCCUGCACCUUUGUACAGGCUUUGCUAUUAUGUAUAACCGCUGGUGCCUGAGUUAAAAUAAAACCAGAUACAUUCUCAAACUCA